rnacentral:rRNA from 1 species
UACGGAGGGUGCAAGCGUUGUCCGGAUUUAUUGGGUUUAAAGGGUGCGUAGGUGGCCUAUUAAGUCAGUGGUGAAAUUUUGCAGCUUAACUGUAAAACUGCCAUUGAUACUGGUAGGCUUGAGUACUGUAGAGGCAGGCGGAAUUUAUGAUGUAGCGGUGAAAUGCAUAGAUAUCAUAAAGAACACCGAUAGCGAAGGCAGCUUGCUAAGCAGUAACUGACACUAAUGCACGAAAGCGUGGGUAGCGAAC